rnacentral:rRNA from 1 species
UACGAAGGGAGCUAGCGUUGUUCGGAAUCACUGGGCGUAAAGCGCACGUAGGCGGAUGUGUCAGUCAGGGGUGAAAUCCCGGAGCUCAACUUCGGAACUGCCUUUGAUACCGCACGUCUUGAGUCCGAUAGAGGUGGGUGGAAUUCCUAGUGUAGAGGUGAAAUUCGUAGAUAUUAGGAAGAACACCGGUGGCGAAGGCGGCCCACUGGAUCGGUACUGACGCUGAGGUGCGAAAGCGUGGGGAGCAAACAGG